rnacentral:lncRNA from 1 species
GCCUGGGGUGGAGUCAUGUCUAGAGCGAGGACUUGGAGAUUGCCACAUCCUGCGCUCUGGCACUCGAGGGCAGCUUUGGUGAGUUUGUCCUCCCAACUUCAGGCUUGUGGAGGGAUCUGAGGUUGUUCUAGCGAUAGAGCGACCUGUGGUGUGGAAUUAUUUUAUUGCAUUAUUUGGAUAGCAGCGGUCAAAUUUUGGACUUGUCAAACUAGCAAGUUGAACUGCUUUACACUGAUCAACGCUCCCAGUUGAGGAAG